UGUACUGAAUUAGUUUAACAAAAAUAGUGGUUUGUGGGACCAAAGAUUUCCUUUAAAUUUAGUU
rnacentral:tRNA from 1 species